UGUACUCAGUCAUCUGCUUUGACAAAGAUGAGGAGGUGGAGGUUGCCCCAACAUCCUGGUUUCAGGAAGGGACCUGUAGGUGGCCUCCCUACAAGAGCCAGGGAAUUCAGAGGGCCAUCAAGCAGCUGGAGGAGGCCCAAAGUACAUGGCCUGUUUACACAGACGCCAGGAUAUUUUAUUCUUCAGACAGUAUUUUAGAGUGCCGUAAGCGAGUUUCACUGGCUCUGGAACAGACGGACUAUACAUCAGAGGCAGACGACCAAGACAUGCGGCCUAAAAGAAAACUUAAGCCAAGUAGAUAUAAUAGAGACCAGGAGGAGGAGGAAAACCUCAGUCCACCGAAAAGGAAGACUGUGUCUCUUCCCAAGGCCCCCGCUAUCCCAAGACCUCCCUCCAAUUCCAGGCGCUUCAUUCUGAUGCCAAAUACAGAAUGUGGGUUUGUUGAGGUCCCCUCAUCUAUUGAGGAGCCUCAGAAUUCUCAGCAUGUAAUGAACCUGGGGUCAACCCUCCGCCAGGCAAUAGAGCAACAUUAUGGUGACAUGGCAGGGUCAGAGCAGCAGCAGAGCAGC